CCCUGUCCCAUGACAAUUGCUCCACAAAGUGUGUGUUCUGAAACUUGUAUGGUGGAGCGCUUGUCGGUGCC
rnacentral:tRNA from 1 species